GCUGAUUUUAUUGAUGAAGAUAGCCAACUACCUAGCCGGAUUUCUAAACCUGGUCAUUCAAAAAGUCGUUCUUCACAUUGGAACAAUGAACAAAUAAAAGAGCAAACAGGAUCAUCACUUAGCCUCCUGAGGUCACUGGAUAAAUAUGCAAGGUUGAUGCAGAAGUUAGAGAUUGUUACUGUUGAGUUUUUUAAGGGAUUUUGCCAAUUGUUUGGGAUCUUCUUUCACUUCGUCUUUGAGACCUUUGGUCACCAAAGUAUUCAUCCAAGUGGAAAGGCUGUGACUGACACGCUGUCGCAUAGACUGAAGACUGCAUUAUUACGAAUAACACACGAUUGUGACCAAUGGAUGAAACCCCAGUCUCAAUCAUUUUCUUCCUCUUCUCCCUCAAGCUCAAGUACAUCAUUUUCUCACAUGGAUGUCACUCCUACCAGCCCACCAAGUUACUUAACUGGUGCAUCCCUGGGACUGAAGGAAAGAUGUGCAGGUGCUGACACUAUAUAUGUUGUUGCUCGGGUAUUACAUAGAUCUAAAGCGCAUCUUCAGUCACUGCUUCAGAAUAAUGCAGCACUGGUUGAGGAUUUCUAUGUGCAUUUGGUGGAUGUUGUACCGGACCUUGUUGAUCAUAUUCAUAGAACAACUGCU
rnacentral:misc_RNA from 1 species